UACGUAGGGAGCAAGCGUUGUCCGGAAUCAUUGGGCGUAAAGCGCGCGUAGGUGGCUUCGUAAGUCCGUUGUGAAAGUCAAAGGCUCAACCUUUGAAAGCCGAUGGAUACUGCGGAGCUAGAGUACGGAAGAGGCGAGUGGAAUUCCUGGUGUAGCGGUGGAAUGCGCAGAUAUCAGGAGGAACACCAAUAGCGAAGGCAGCUCGCUGGGACGUUACUGACACUGAGGCGCGAAAGCGUGGGUAGCAAACAGG
rnacentral:rRNA from 1 species